rnacentral:rRNA from 1 species
UACGGGGGGAGCAAGCGUUGUUCGGAUUUACUGGGCGUAAAGGGCUCGUAGGCGGCCAACUAAGUCAGACGUGAAAUCCCUCGGCUUAACCGGGGAACUGCAUCUGAUACUGGAUGGCUUGAGUUCGGGAGAGGGAUGUGGAAUUCCAGGUGUAGCGGUGAAAUGCGUAGAUAUCUGGAGGAACACCGGUGGCGAAGGCGGCAUCCUGGACCGACACUGACGCUGAGGAGCGAAAGCCAGGGGAGCAAACGGG